CGUAGGUGGCAAGCGUUGUCCGGAAUUAUUGGGCGUAAAGCGCGCGCAGGCGGUUCCUUGAGUCUGAUGUGAAAGCCCCCGGCUCAACCGGGGGAAGGUCAUUGGAAACUGGGGAACUUGAGUGCAGAAGAGAAGAGCGGAAUUCCACGUGUAGCGGUGAAAUGCGUAGAGAUGUGGAGGAACACCAGUGGCGAAGGCGGCUCUUUGGUCUGUAACUGACGCUGAGGCGCGAAAGCGUGGGGAGCAAACAGGAUUAGAUACCCUGGUAGUCCACGCCAUAAACGAUGAGUGCUAAGUGUUAGAGGGUUUCCGCCCUUUAGUGCUGCAGCUAACGCAUUAAGCACUCCGCCUGGGGAGUACGGCCGCAAGGCUGA
rnacentral:rRNA from 1 species